GCUUUGUCAACAGUAUAUACAUGCCAAAUUGCGGUAAAAUAAUUGCGUAUGCAUUAUAUAUUUUCCUAAAUAAUAUUUGUUUAAUAUUGUACCAAUUUUCCGUUUUUCACAUUUAUUGGGAAAAUCAAAAAAAGACCCCCCCCCCUCAACUAGAUGACAUUAGCUUUCCGAAAAAAUACUGUACCAUACUCUAUACAUCGCGGAGCAAGAUUUCUUACCGAAAAG